GGUGGGCAGGGACCUGGAUCUGAUUAGCUGGGAGGGGGAAGCCGUGGUCCCAACCGUUCGCUCCUGUCUCCCCAGCUCCUCGCGGAGGAGGAGGCGGGACGGUACAGAGAAGAAGAGCGAAGGGGGUCCCAUCACUGAGCACCCGGGCCACGAUUUGAGCCGCCGAGGUCUCCCGGCUGUCGCCCGGUCCUCGCCCCGGCCCCAGCCAUGGGGCCCCCUUCCAGCUCUGGCUUCUACGUGAGCCGCGCGGUAGCCCUGCUGCUGGCCGCGCUGGCCGCCGCACUCUUGCUGGCGCUGGCGGUGCUCGCCGCCCUGUACGGCCGCUGCGCGCGCGUCCAGCCGUCCGACCUCCAUCACGGCGGGGUCCCGGACGCCGCGUCCUCGCCGCGCGGCACGCAGGAGGAGCAGCUGCCCACCUGGCCGCCCCGCCCCACUCGUGAACCGGCGGGUACGGCCACCCCGGGCCACUGGCGACCCCCGGGCCCCUGGGACCAGCUGCGCCUGCCGCCCUGGCUCGUGCCUCUGCACUAUGAGCUGGAGCUGUGGCCCCGGCUACGUCCGAACGAGUUCCAGUCUCCGACGUUGAGCUUCACCGGCCGCGUGAACAUCACCGUGCGCUGCACCGCGGCCACCGCGCGGCUGCUGCUGCACAGCCUCUUCCUGGACUGCGAGAGCGCCGAGGUGCGGGGUCCUCUGUCCUCUGGCCCCCGAGACGGCGCGGUGGGUCGCGUGCCCGUGGACGACGUGUGGUUCGCUUUCGACAUGCAGUAUAUGGUGCUGGAGCUCGGCGCGACCCUGCAGCCCGGGAGCCGGUAUGAGCUGCAGCUCAGUUUCUCGGGCCUGGUGUACCGGGACCUCAGGGAGGGGCUCUUCUUCAGCAUCUACACGGACCAGGGCGAGCGCAGGGCCCUGUUAGCAUCUCAGAUGGAGCCAACAUUUGCCAGGAGUGUUUUUCCUUGUUUUGAUGAGCCAGCUCUAAAGGCAACCUUUAAUAUUACAAUUAUUCAUCAUCCAAGCUAUGGGGCCCUUUCCAAUAUGCCAAAGCUAGGUCAGUCUGAAAAAAGAGACGUGAAUGGAAGCGUGUGGACCAUUACCACCUUUUCCACCACUCCCCACAUGCCAACUUAUUUAGUCGCGUUGGCCAUAUGUGACUAUGACCACGUCAGCAGAACUGAAAGGGGCCAAGAGAUACGCAUCUGGGCCCGGAAAGAUGCCAUCGCAAAUGGAAACGCAGCCUUUGCUUUGAACAUCACAGGUCCUAUCUUCUCUUUUCUGGAAGAUUUGUUUAAUAUUAGUUACCCUCUUCCUAAAACAGAUAUAAUUGCCUUGCCUACUUUUGACAACAGUGCAAUGGAAAACUGGGGACUAUUGAUAUUCGAUGAGUCAUUAUUGUUGAUGCAACCAAAUGAUCAAGUAACAGACAAAAAGGCUGUGAUCUCCUUCAUUCUCUCCCACGAGAUUGGACAUCAGUGGUUUGGAAAUCUGGUUACCAUGAAUUGGUGGAAUGAUAUCUGGCUCAAAGAAGGUUUUGCAUCUUAUUUUGAAUUUGGAGUCAUUAACUACUUCAAUCCUAAAUUCCGAAGAAAUGAGGUCUUUUUUUCUAACAUUUUACAUCAUGUCCUCAGUGAAGAUCAUGCCCUGGUGUCUAGAGCUGUGUCCUUGAAGGUGGAAAAUUUCACAGAAACCAGUGAAAUAAAUGAACUCUUUGACUUAUUUACUUACAACAAGGGAGCAUCUUUGGCCCGAAUGCUUUCUAGCUUUCUGAAUGAGAAUGUAUUUAUCAGUGCACUCAAGUCAUAUUUGAAGACAUUUUCUUACUCAACUGCUGAGCAAGAUGAUUUAUGGAGGCAUUUUCAAAUGGUCGUAGACGACCAGAGUAAAAUUCUUUUGCCAGCGCCAGUAAAAAGCAUAAUGGACCGUUGGACACACCAGAGUGGUUUUCCAGUCAUCACCUUAAAUGUAUCUACUGGUGCCAUGAAACAGGAACCAUUUUAUCUUGGAAAGGUUAAAAAUCAGACUCUCCUAACCCACAACGACACAUGGAUUGUACCUAUUCUCUGGAUAAAAAAUGGAAUCACACAGUCUCUAGUUUGGCUAGAUAAAAGCAGCAAAAUAUUCCCUGAAAUGCAAGUUUCAGAUUCUGAUCACGACUGGGUGAUUCUAAAUUUGAAUAUGACUGGAUAUUACAGAGUUAACUAUGAUAAAGUAGGUUGGAAAAAGCUAAAACAACAGCUUGAAAAAGAUCCUAAGGCCAUCCCUGUUAUUCAUAGACUGCAGAUGAUCGAUGAUGCCUUUUCCUUGUCGAAAAACAAUUAUGUUGAGAUUGAAACAGCCCUUGAUUUAACCAAGUACCUUGCUGAAGAAGAUGAAAUCAUAGUAUGGUAUGCAGUCUUGGUGAACCUGGUAACCAAGGAUCUUGUUUUUGAUGUGAACAACUAUGAUAUGUACCCAUUAUUAAAGAAGUAUCUGUUAAAGAGACUUAUCUCAAUAUGGAAUAUGUAUUCAACUGUAAUUCGUGAAAACGUGGCAGCAUUACAAGAUGACUAUUUAGCCCUCGUGGCCCUGGAAAAACUUUUUGAAACUGCGUGUUGGUUGGGACUGGAAGACUGUCUUCAGCUGUCAAGAGAACUCUUCAAAAACUGGACAAACCAUCCAGAGAAUGAAAUACCUUAUCCGAUUAAAAGUGUAGUUUUAUGUUAUGGCGUUGCCUUCGGAAGUGAUGAAGAAUGGGACUUUUUGUUAAAUAUGUACUCUAAUAAAACAAAGGAAGAAGAAAGGAUUCAACUCACUUAUGCGAUGAGCUGCAGUAAAGACCCAUGGAUACUUCACAGAUAUCUGGAGUAUGCCGUCACGGCAGCUCCAUUCACUUUUAACGAAACAAAUAUAAUGGAAGUUGUGGCGGAAUCUGAAGUAGGCCGGUACAUUGUGAAGGACUUUUUAAUCAACAAUUGGCAAGCUGUGAGUGAAAGGUAUGGAACACAAUCGCUGGUUAACCUAAUGUACAUAAUAGGGAGAACCAUAAGCACAGAUUUACAGAUCACAGAGCUGCAGCAGUUUUUCAGCAACAUGUUGGAAGAGCACCAGAAGCUCACAGUUCGUGCCAAGUUACAGACAAUAAAGAACAAAAAUCUGGGAAACAAAAAGCUCAAUGCUAGGAUGACAGCGUGGCUACGGAAAAACACGUAACUGAGCGGCGGCCACUUCCGGCACCCCUCAGGCCCGUCAUAAUGUACUUUGUGCAGAGUUUUGUCCUCCAAUACUUUUGCCCGUUGCCUGUGUCACAGUUUACAGGCUACUGAGCCUUUAUUGUGUCACGAAAAGAGCCAGGAUCAAAGGAUCCACAAAGUGCCCUUGGGAUUGCUGUCGUGGAGGCCGGAAUGAGAGGAAGGCUUUGCUCUGAAGCUGGAGACUGCGUACCCACCUGUGGGCCAGACGCUCAUUUGGCCAAAGUCUCUGUGCAAAAAUAAUGCUGUCAACAGACAGUAGCAAUUAGGGGCAGAUCUUCAGCCCCAGGGAAGUGGCCAAAUACAGAGAAAUAGAGCUAAAAGGCCAACAUGCUAACCAGAGCAUAAUCUUUACAGCCAAGCCCUCAGGGGACUAAGUUUGAAACGCGGUUUCAUCUGGCCAAAUCGAACCUGCUUGUAGUUUGGAGAACUUUAAAGGCGUUCAUCAGUUACGAUGUAUGGAAUUAGCUUAGUUUCGUUACACAGGAUUAAAUCGGGACCGCUAAAGCAAGGCAUCCUGCUCUAGACUUUGUGUGAUUUCUGUGUUUUCACGCUGAUUUUGUUUUUGUUGAAUGGGGGUAAAACCACAGAUCUCUGCUCUACCUCAGAGUGAUGUAAACGUUAAGAAAUAUGCCAGUUAAAUGCCUUAAAGAUGUUGUAUAAACUCAAGGCAACGUGAUCUCAAGUUUUUCCCUCUUGCUGGAGUAAGUCAAUGUAGUCGCAAGUGAAGAAGCAGAACCAAAGUUUCGUUUUGUAUUUGUCUCACACAAAGAGGCUCCUGAGUGAGUGGGUGUGGCCAUGAAAACCAGCCAAAGCACCACCCACCCCCCAGACUUGACCAUGGGUCAUAGGUCAGAGUCUUCUUCUCCAAAUUUGCAAAUUUAAAGCGGGGGCGCCUGGGUGGCUCAGUCGGUUAAGUGUCCGACUUCGGCUUAGGUCAUGAUCUCACUCACGGUUUGUGGGUUUGAGCCCCGCAUCAGGGUCUGUGCUGACAGCUCAGAGCUUGGAGCCUGCUUCCGAUUCUGUGUCUCCCUCUGUCUCUGCCCCUCCCCUGCUCACACUCUGUUUCUCUCAAAAAUAAAGGAACACUAAUUUUUUUUUUUUUAAAGAGCUUAUCAAAUGCCCACCUGAUUGGUUAAUAGUCCUUCCUCUGAAUAUGAAAAAGAAUUCUGAGUAAUAUACAUUUGUCUUACCUGGAUGAAGACAGUCCAGAUAGGCAUUGCAUUUUAUCAUAUUGUACUUACCCUUGGUAUAAAGUGAAGUAAUUAUUGAGUCACUACUGAGAUAGCAAGAAGUCAGGGAGGGAUACUGAUGUAGAUUUGUGUAAAGGGCAUAAAUACUCCAUUCACCAAUAACCCAGCUUACCUAUUAGUGCCCCCCCAUAAAACCACUUCUCCAAGCCAUCUAGUUUACCCAGUUUGCUCUGUACUGUUCACCUGAUAAAAAAAAAAAAAGUUUAUAAGAUGUACAAUGUGAUCGUGACUGUUUUCCAUUUGGUAACUAGAAAUGAAAAGUUUUCGUUACAAUCUUCUGCUUCUUUCCUGAUCAACCCACUCAGUGACUUCCCAUCGCUGACUUUAAAGGAAAGAACAGAUGCCUUGGUCUUGAGGACUGGAGAUCGUCUGUAAUUUAGAGCUCUGGGGUCAAGCUGCACUGCAGUUUAUUCUGAGGAAUGAAUGAAGGAGAGAAACGAGCUUUAUUUUGUUUUUAAUUCUUUUUAGUGUUUAUUUAUUUUUGAGAGAGAGAGAGAGAGAGCGUGAGCAGGGGAGGAGCAGAGAGAGGCAGACACAGAAUGUGAAGCAGGCUCCUGGCUCCGAGCUGUCAGCACAGAGCCGGAUGCGUGGCUCGAAUUCACAAACUGCAAGAUCAUGACCUGAGCCAAAGUCAGAGGCUUAACCAACUGAGCCACCCAGGCUCCCUGAGAUGAGCUUUAAAAGGGAAGCCUGCUCGAUUGCUUUUUCUGUUUGCUUCAACAAAUGCUAUCUUUUUUCCAUCCAAACUCUAGCAGGAUUAACAUGGCCAGAGCAAAGCCUUAAUGGGGUUCACAGUAAAUAGAACUGCCUCCCUCACGCGGAGGAGCAGGAAUCAGCAUUCGAGACCAUGUAAAUAUUGCUUUUGGCCUGCUCUUCUCUGGAAUCCAACAACAUUCAGCAAAGAUAUUCCUUACAACACACAUAUCUAAGAGUCAUGUGGACUUUUCCUCUUCUCCUCCUUCAUAAACAGGUUGGUCCUUAAGGUGAGGCAGAGCUAGGCAGGCCUCUUUAUGAGGGGGAGUCAGGGGUGGGGCUGGGGAGACCCAUGACCCGGAGUGGGUGGGGGGGUUUGGGUGGGCAAUGGGGGAGUCUGUACAGUGGGGAGCAGCUUGGCACAGGAUGGCAGAGCCCAGGAAGGUGAGUAGGACAUGCACACGGGGCAGGGAGGGGGCUUACAACAUGGAGAGUCAGAGCCAAACAGGGUAAGGUGGACAUCUAGCAGGGGUCCAUCUAGCAUGGGCAAUCGGAGCCCAAACAGGGUGAGAAUGGGGAGUCCAAGCCCUAGUGGGGUAAAGGGAACUUUCAGAGCCAGGGCAGUGACCCAGCAUGAGGUAAGGGAGCCUGAGGAUGGUGAGGAGGGCAUCACGUGGGGUGGGGGGAGGACAGUGAUGGGAGCUUGGUGACCACAGAUGAGUGAAUCAUAUCCAAAGAUACAUAAAUGAUAAUAGGACCCAGGUUUCUCACUGUUGGAGAAGAGCAUAGCAAACAUUCAAAAAGGGAAACCUAGAAGGGACCUUUUGUCGUUGGAUUGGAGUCGGAGGUAUGGAUGUGAACAGUCCUCACAGUUUUCAGUAUAUGGAUAGAGUCCUGCAUAGACAUGUAAAUGUGUGUAGAUGCAUCUUGCCCCUUCUGUAGACGAACAGAUGUGUAGGUACAGAUAUGUAUACAGAUACGGAUAUAGAUAUACAUGUCAACAUCAAUCCUACCUUCUCAGCAGAGAGGGCCUGGGAGCAGCCACACCCUACCAACAACGAACACAGCUAGUGCCCAGAUCUUGGCUUCUAAACACCAUGGUCUACUAUGCAAACCAGGGCUCCACAGAGAAAUGACUGAUUUCAGGGCUUUCAUGGGAAAGGGACAAUUCGAGACGGAAUGUCUUUUUGUACCGAAAGACAAGGAAGUGUUCAAAGAAUGAUGGGAACAUUGAUACUUAAGCCAGCUUGAAGCACCCCCCUUUUAGUCCAAUCUGGGGAAAUUUGAGCAUCAUAAUAAAGACAGCAACUUAUCAAAUAGGGACUCAUGAAUCUAUAGUUUUCUGUCUAAUGAACAAUUGAAAUGUUGAUGAGGAAAAGAAUAUAUACACAAUUUCAAGGCGACUUACCAUAAAACACGAAUAAAUUACAAAGGGAAAGUGAGUAAUUUACAAUUAUCACCUGGCAGACAUCCCCUCACUCCACCCGUGAGUGUGAACAUCAUCCCAGUGGAAUUAAUUUAAAAAAAAAAUUGCUCCAUUUAAAAAGGCGAGAUGACACUUUUGUUAUAUCCUUGACAAACCUCCAUGACAUGAAUCUAACCAUGAGGAAACAUCGGACAAACCCAAAUUAAGGUACAUGCCAGAAAGCAGUCUUCAAAAGCCUCAAGGUCACAGAAGUAAAGGAAAGAUAGAGGAUAGAGGACCAUCUUAGACUGAAGGGAAUUAAAGAUACAUGACAACAAAGUGUAAUGUGAUUCUGAACUGGAUCCUUUUGCUAUGAAGAACAUUACUGGGACAACUGGAAAUAUUUGGAGUCUGAGGAUUAGAUACUAGAAAUGUAUCAACAUUAAUUUUCUGACUCUGACAGGUGUGUUGUAUUAGGUAGAAAAUAUCCCUGGUUGUAGAAAGUACACAUCAAGGGGUGAAUGGGGCAUCCGGUGACAACUCACUCUUAAUGAUUCAGGAAAAAAUAUUUUUGUAUUGUAAUUCCAAUUUUUCUAUAAAUGUGUGAUUAAAUAAAUUUAAAAAUAAAUGUUAUUUUUUAGUAAAACUGUAAUAUAUUUUUCUUUCAAACCAUUUUUUCCUUUCAGGCGUGGUAACAGCCACUCAUAGUCCUAAAGUUUAUCUGUUAAACAUUUCAGUUAACACAAAGUAAA